UAUCCAUUAUCGGUACUUUCUGCUUUGUGUGGCUGCCUAUGCAAUAAGAACUCUGCAAACUAACAUUGCUGCAAACUAAUGAUGCUUUCUGCUGCUUGGGACUGAGAAUGGUGCUUGAAGUGCUAAGCACCUGAUCCAUAGCAGUACCUAGCAAGCUGUGCUGAGACCAUCAGAGAUUCAGCUGGAAGCAGCCAGCAUCUCUGCAAGCAAGCCUGCAGCAUGACCAGGUGGGCCAGAGAGAGAGCACUGUGCCAGCCACACACUUGAGUAUAGAAGGGAAUCCUGCCAAGUUCCAUUGACUGUGUUCAGACACAUGUACAUUCAGCAAAGGAAGUCCUAGUAGCUUCAACCACUGGACUAGAAGUUGCUUGAGAGUUAGUGAGGUGAUGCAAGAUUUCUGCCUGGUUUAUCCAAU
rnacentral:lncRNA from 1 species